rnacentral:rRNA from 1 species
GUGCCAGCCGCCGCGGUAAUACCGGCAGCCCGAGUGAUGGCCGAUCUUAUUGGGCCUAAAGCGUCCGUAGCUGGCCGCGCAAGUCCGUCGGGAAAUCCAUCAGCCCAACUGAUGGGCGUCCGGCGGAAACUGCACGGCUUGGGACCGGAAGACUCGAGAGGUACGUCCGGGGUAGGAGUGAAAUCCCGUAAUCCCGAACGGACCACCGAUGGCGAAAGCAUCUCGAGAAGACGGCUUCGACAGUGAGGGACGAAAGCUCGGGUCUCAAACCGGAUUAGAUACCCGGGUAGUCC